UUGGGAUUCAGCCUAGUAGGCGCUUGGUCCAUGGCCUGCCAGAGAUUGUUUUUCCUGGAGGUUGUGAUCGCCUUGCGUUUACGGGUGCAUUUCUCAGAGAUCGCGCCAAAGGCACUGGUUGCAUCGUGUUGGACCCACGUUGGUGGCUCAUCUGCCUUGCGCAGAAGAGUGUCUCGCGUGGUGUUCAGUGCGGUUGCGGCUAGUGUGAUGGAAAGAGUGCCCUGCCCCAGCGCAGGACUGUGAGCAUCUGACUUGAUGUGGCUAGGAUUCCGGUUUACUCUGGGCCUGGCUCUUCAGGGCGGGUGUCUUGCGGGACCCUGACUUGGUACUCGGCUUUGGUGUUUUGUCUGUUACCCAUCUGACCCGUCUUGAAACACGGACCAAGGAGUCUAACAUGGGCGCGAGUCAUUGGGUUGCUAAACCUAAAGGCGCAAUGAAAGUAAAGACUGGCUUUAGUCAGUUGAUAUGCGAUCUUUGGCUUCGGCUAGAGCGCAGCAUAGUCCCUCGCUUUCCGCAUUGCCGGUGGCGAGGAGACAGAGCGAUCAUGUUGGGACCCGAAAGAGGCUGAA
rnacentral:rRNA from 1 species